rnacentral:tRNA from 1 species
GCCCAGGUGGCGGAACUGGUAGACGCGCUAGCUUCAGGUGCUAGUUUCUGUAUGGAAGUGGAGGUUCGAGUCCNAAAAACCUACUUCUCCUGGGCACCA